AAGACUGCCUUUAUAGGACCUUCGGUUUCGGCCCGACUAAUUGAAAUAAUAUUCACUGUCUUU
rnacentral:tRNA from 1 species